rnacentral:rRNA from 1 species
UGGGGAAUCUUGGACAAUGGGGGCAACCCUGAUCCAGCCAUGCCGCGUGAGUGAUGAAGGCCUUAGGGUCGUAAAGCUCUUCGCCUGUGAAGAUAAUGACGGUAGCAGGUAAAGAAACCCCGGCUAACUCCGUGCCAGCAGCCGCGGUAAUACGGAGGGGGUUAGCGUUGUUCGGGAAUUACUGGGCGUAAAGCGCACGUAGGCGGAUCGGAAAGUUGGGGGUGAAAUCCCGGGGGCUCAACCCCGGAACUGCCUCCAAAACUAUCGGUCUAGAGUUCGAGAGAGGUGAGUGGAAUUCCGAGUGUAGAGGUGAAAUUCGUAGAUAUUCGGAGGAACACCAGUGGCGAAGGCGGCUCACUGGCUCGAUACUGACGCUGAGGUGCGAAAGUGUGGGGAGCAAAACAGGAUUAGAUACCCUGGUAGUCCACACCGUAAAACGAUGAAUGCCAGUCGUCGGAUAGCAUGCUAUUCGGUGACACACCU